rnacentral:rRNA from 1 species
GACGUAGGAGGCGAGCGUUGUCCGGAUUCAUUGGGCGUAAAGAGCACGCAGGCGGUUUGGCAAGUCGGAUGUGAAAACCCGGAGCUCAACUCCGGGCGUGCAUCCGAUACUGCCCGACUAGAGGUAGGUAGGGGAGAUCGGAAUUCCUGGUGUAGCGGUGAAAUGCGCAGAUAUCAGGAGGAACACCGGUGGCGAAGGCGGAUCUCUGGGCCUUACCUGACGCUCAGGCGCGAAAGCUAGGGGAGCGAACAGG